rnacentral:rRNA from 1 species
GACGAACGCUGGCGGCGUGCCUAAUACAUGCAAGUAGAACGCAGUUGCGAACGCGUGAGUAACGCGUAGGUAACCGCCUCAUAGCAGGGGAUAACUAUUGGAAACGAUAGCUAAUACCGCAUACUGUGAGAUGGACCUGCGUUGUCUUAGCUAGUUGGUGAGGUAAAGGCUCACCAAGGCGACGAUACAUAGCCGACCUGAGGGGGUGAUCGGCCAAACUGGGACGUAGACACGGCGCAGGCUCCUGCGUGAGGGCGGAGUAGGGGAUCAUCGGGAAUGGACGGAAGUCUGGCCGAGCAGCGGCGCUUUGGAGAAGAAGGUUCUCGGAUUGUAAAGCGCCGUUGGUAGAGAAGCGGUAACGAACCAGAAAGGGCCGGCUAACUACGGGCCAGCAGCCGCGGUAAUAC